UACAGAGGUCUCAAGCGUUGUUCGGAUUCACUGGGCGUAAAGGGCGCGUAGGCGGCUUGUACAGUCAGGCGUGAAAUUCCUGGGCUCAACCUGGGGGCUGCGUUUGAUACGUGCGGGCUUGAGUUCGGAAGAGGGUCGUGGAAUUCCCAGUGUAGAGGUGAAAUUCGUAGAUAUUGGGAAGAACACCGGUGGCGAAGGCGGCGACCUGGUCCGAUACUGACGCUGAGGCGCGAAAGCGUGGGGAGCAAACAGG
rnacentral:rRNA from 1 species